GUUUAAAAUCACACCAGCCUUGUUCAGGGCAGUUUCCCUGUUCUGUAAUUAAACUUUAGAGCAGUAAGACCUGGGCUAGGGGAGAUGAUUGGGUGGAGAGUAUUUCCAUAUUCAUCUCCCUCCAACCUGCAAAA